GCAGAGAUGCUUUGGUGCCUUCGGGAACUGUGAGACAGGUGCUGCAUGGCUGUCGUCAGCUCGUGUUGUGAAAUGUUGGGUUAAGUCCCGCAACGAGCGCAACCCUUAUCCUUUGUUGCCAGCGGUUAGGCCGGGAACUCAAAGGAGACUGCCAGUGAUAAACUGGAGGAAGGUGGGGAUGACGUCAAGUCAUCAUGGCCCUUACGACCAGGGCUACACACGUGCUACAAUGGCAUAUACAAAGAGAAGCGACCUCGCGAGAGCAAGCGGACCUCAUAAAGUAUGUCGUAGUCCGGAUUGGAGUCUGCAACUCGACUCCAUGAAGUCGGAAUCGCUAGUAAUCGUAGAUCAGAAUGCUACGGUGAAUACGUUCCCGGGCCUUGUACACACCGCCCGUCACACCAUGGGAGUGGGUUGCAAAAGAAGUAGGUAGCUUAACCUUCGGGAGGGCGCUUACCACUUUGUGAUUCAUGACUGGGGUGAAGUCGUAACAAGGUAACCGUAGGGGAACCUGCGGUUGGAUCACCUCCUU
rnacentral:rRNA from 3 species